CGAGAAGGGCGUAGCCAGCGGAGGCGCAACGAAGGCGUGGCGGAGGAGCGACGGAGGUUUCUUCUCUCCGUUUGAUUUGCGACGCAAGGAGGGAGCUUCUUUCCCUUUCUCCUUUUUCGGUUCGUCUUUCAGAGGGAGAGUGUUUCUGCGUUUCGCAACAAGGAUCUCUGUUUUACGGUGGCUGGCGACAGCAACAACGACCCGUUGCGAGGGGUACCGGCAACGACAACGGAGUGAAUUGCGUUUUGAUUUGUUUUACUUAUGGAUUCUGAAAUUGAGAAUUGGGGAAUUAGGUUUUCGAUUCAAAAUUGGGCUUUCUGUUAUUGAUUUUGCGAUUUAAUGUUUUGUCCUCUGGUUUUGGGGAUUUUGAGUUUUCUGAUCUUGUGAUUUUGGGUUGAGCCGCGAGGAAGGAGACUCUGUUGCGUUUUGGGGUUUUCUACGCUUGGAAAUUGUUCUCAUGAUUUGGGGAAUUAGGGUUUCCUGAACUUGGGAAAUUAGGAAUUUUUCUUGUGUUCUUGAUCAUUUUGGGGUUUUUCCUUCUACGUUUCGAUUCACAAUUUCGUGAGUCUUCGCUUUUGUCUGAGGGUGCUGUUUUGAGGUCCUUAGGUUCCUGAUUUUUUAUUCGGGAAUUAUUUUCGGGAGUUCGUUCUUGUUCUCUUGAAUUGAGUUCAGUAUUUUGAUAAUAUUGUGUUCUUGGCC
rnacentral:lncRNA from 1 species